rnacentral:rRNA from 1 species
GUUUCCGUAGGUGAACCUGCGGAAGGAUCAUUGUCGAAACCUGCCCAGCAGAACGACCCGCGAACAUGUCUUAAACACCGGGGGCCUGCGGGCCUCGUGCCCGUGCGCUCCCGCCCGNGCCGCGAAGCGCGGCGGCCGCACGCGUCCGCGUGCGUCCGUCCGUCCCCUCGCGGCGCGUUAACGAACCCCGGCGCGAAUCGCGCCAAGGAAAUCUCAACGAGAGAGCCCGCUCCCGUCGCCCCGGAAACGGUGCGCGCGCGGGAUGCGUGGCCUUCUUUCAAUAUCUAUAACGACUCUCGGCAACGGAUAUCUCGGCUCUCGCAUCGAUGAAGAANGUAGNGAAAUGCGAUACUUGGUGUGAAUUGCAGAAUCCCGUGAACCAUCGAGUCUUUGAACGCAAGUUGCGCCCCAAGCCGUUAGGCCGAGGGCACGUCUGCCUGGGUGUCACGCAUNGUCGCCCCCCUCCCCGGACCCUGCGGUCUCGCGGGCGGCGGGGGCGGAGAAUGGCCUCCCGUGUGCUCGCGCACGCGGUUGGCCCAAACCCGAGUCCUCGGUGACGCUUUCCCGCGACAAUCGGUGGCGUUUCAAACACGACCUAGUGAUCCUGUCGUGCGGGGGCGUUCUCCGUCCUGAGGACUCCUCGACCCUCGGGAGCCGGCGCCAGCCGGCUCGCAUCGCGACCCCANGUCA